CUUCACAUUCCCUCCUGGCCAGUACAUUGCUAAGACUUAAAGCUUUCAUUUGUUAACUGAAUAAUAAAAGUUUGUUUUUCUUUAAAGCAUUGCUAGCCAUGAGGCUUCCAGGUAUUCUUGCUGGGAUGAAUCCUUUUAUUUUAGAUAUUUUCUUCCCUAAGCUUGUUCUUUUCUUUCUUUUUAGAUGAGGCCAUCUUUUAUUCACAUAGUAAGAGCGGGAUUGGAAUAGAGAGAUGGGGAAUGAGACAGAGAGGAGGCCUGCCACCUCCAUUUGAGCAUCAUUGCUUGGGGAAAGGUGAGGCAAUGGACUCCAUCCCAGUCUGUUUUCUGCAGGAGCAGGUUCAAGGGACCCGAUUCAUUUUACUUGAGACUGAGUCUACAUGGCAGAAAUACCACUGGGACAGUUUUAGGUGUGGGAAUUUGUAAGGAGAAAGAAGCUCAAUUGACCAUAAAAUGUUCUGACCCAGAACUAAGCCAGGAACAUUUGGAAUCAGUGUUUUGAACCUGGUGUGCACAGAGAAUAAUUUUGCCCAGGCUUUCUGAUGUAGAC
ensembl:lincRNA